rnacentral:tRNA from 1 species
AAGGGUAGAGCUCAGCGGUAGAGCGUGUGCUUACAGGCAUGAAGUCCUGGGUUCAAUCCCCAGUACCUCCG